rnacentral:lncRNA from 1 species
AGAGCUUGAAGAUAGAGGGAGAGGUCGGAGGAAAAGAAAAAAAGAAGAGAAAGAGAGUUCUGGAAGAAUUUUGGUUGAUUUUUUGAAUGAGAUUUAGAAGAAAAUUGUAGACAUGGAGAUCACGUUUCCGGGUGGAACUUCUAAAGGACGCAUGGGCUGAUUCGGGGACUGUUUGUGGUGAAGGAACACACGAGCCAGAUCGAAGAAGCAGACACAACUAGACUGAGAAGAAAAAGUGACACAACCGUGAAAGAGGGUAGUUGUAAGCAAGGAAAGGGAAUGAAAUCAUGG